UACGGGGGGGGUAAGCGUUGUUCGGAAUUACUGGGCGUAAAGGGCUCGUAGGCGGCCAACUAAGUCGGACGUGAAAUCCCUCAGCUUAACUGGGGAACUGCGUCUGAUACUGGAUGGCUUGGAUUUGGGAGAGGGAUGCGGAAUUCCAGGUGUAGCGGUGAAAUGCGUAGAUAUCUGGAGGAAGGCCGGUGGCGAAGGCGGCGCUCUGGAACAUUUCUGACGCUGAGGCUCGAAAGCGUGGGGAGCAAACAGG
rnacentral:rRNA from 1 species